CAAUAGCGUAUAUUUAAGUUGUUGCAGUUAAAAAGCUCGUAGUUGGAUUUCGGUUAAGAGCGACCGGUCCGCCGUUUGGUGUGCACUGGUUGGUUUUAACUUCCUGUAGAGGACGUGCUCUGGGUUUAACGACCUGGACUCGGAGUCUACGUGGUUACUUUGAAAAAAUUAGAGUGUUCAAAGCGGGCUUACGCUUGAAUAUUUCAGCAUGGAAUAACACUAUAGGACUCCUGUCCCAUUUCGUUGGUCUCGGGACGGGAGUAAUGAUUAAGAGGAACAGUUGGGGGCAUUCGUAUUUCAUUGUCAGAGGUGAAAUUCUUGGAUUUAUGAAAGACGAACUUCUGCGAAAGCAUUUGCCAAGGAUGUUUUCAUUAA
rnacentral:rRNA from 1 species